CCCUUAGAUGUUCUGGGCCGCACGCGCGCUACACUGAUACGUUCAACGAGUCCAAAACCUUGAUUGAUAGGUCUGGGUAAUCUUUUGAAGACGUAUCGUGCUAGGGAUAGAUUAUUGCAAUUAUUAAUCUUGAACGAGGAAUUCCUAGUAAACGCAAGUCAUCAGCUUGCAUUGAUUACGUCCCUGCCCUUUGUACACACCGCCCGUCGCACCUACCGAUUGAAUGACUCGGUGAAAAAUUGGGACUGCGAUUGAAAUUGCUUCAUUGCGAAUUUAAUUAUGGAAACUUUCUUUAACCUAGGCAUUUAGAGGAAGGUGAAGUCGUAACA
rnacentral:rRNA from 1 species